GCUGUCCAAAUGGCAUUCAACUCAUUUAUGUGAGCCUGUCAUUCAGGCAACGCUCUAAGUUCUGAAGACACAGUAUGGAAUAAGAUAAGCAAAGUCUUCAAUUGCAGCAAGAUAGUUUAAAAAAAUAAUAACCAGAAGGAAGCAUGAGUAACCUAUAAACGGGAAGUUGCUUGUUGAAGUUGCACAUUGAUAGAGGAAUUUUUUGAAGCUGCUUUUUGAUCCUUCAAAGGCCAACAAGUAAGUGAAAAGAAUAUCUCUUAUUCUUCAUCUUCUACCCGUCUUGGCUCUACCACGAGCUCUUGUUGUAAGAACUAUGUAAAGUUCCUUGAAUUUGAUGAGUUCUUGCUCAUCUUCAUGUCUUUGCAUAUGCUACAUCUUCUGCGGAGAGUACUCCUCCCCUUUGGAUUCACCUGACGGAGAAGAAGAGCAGGGGAAGAAGCCAAGGAAGAGAGAGGAAGAGGAUCUCAAGUAGACUCCCUGCAGAACGAAGAGCCCAACACCCUUAGAUCAUGACCUGAAAUCAAGAGUCAGACACUUAACCAAUGGAGCUAUCCAGAUAUCCCUUUGAAUCUUAACUAUGAAGAUAAAAACACACAAAGCACUUGUUACGGUCCAAGCAUGGUACUAAAGUCUUCACACAUAUUUACGUCCAUCAAGAAUUUCCAUCUUCUGCAUUUUACAGACAAUGGAACUGAAGCUGAGAGGAGUUAAGUAACUCUGCCCAGGAUAACACACUGCGAAAGUGGAAGACCCAGGAUUUGAAGUUGGGUGCAUCUGCCUCUAACAUCUGUCCUCUUAGCUACCACACUCUACCAUCAC